rnacentral:rRNA from 1 species
UACGGAGGGGACUAGCGUUGUUCGGAAUUACUGGGCGUAAAGGGCUCGUAGGCGGUUUGUCGCGUCGGGAGUGAAAUCAUCUGGCUUAACUGGGUGCUUGCUUUCGAUACGGGCAGACUAGAGGUAUGCAGGGGAGAACGGAAUUCCUGGUGUAGCGGUGAAAUGCGCAGAUAUCAGGAGGAACACCGGUGGCGAAGGCGGUUCUCUGGGCAUGAUCUGACGCUGAGGAGCGAAAGUGUGGGGAGCGAACAGG